rnacentral:rRNA from 1 species
GAUGAACGCUGGCGGCGUGCCUAAUACAUGCAAGUCGAGCGAACAGAUGAGAAGCUUGCUUCUCUGAUGUUAGCGGCGGACGGGUGAGUAACACGUGGGCAACCUACCUAUAAGACUGGGAUAACUCCGGGAAACCGGGGCUAAUACCUGAUAAUAUUUUGAACCGCAUGGUUCAAUAGUGAAAGACGGCUUCGGCUGUCACUUAUAGAUGGACCCGCGCCGUAUUAGCUAGUUGGUAAGGUAAUGGCUUACCAAGGCAACGAUACGUAGCCGACCUGAGAGGGUGAUCGGCCACACUGGAACUGAGACACGGUCCAGACUCCUACGGGAGGCAGCAGUAGGGAAUCUUCCGCAAUGGGCGAAAGCCUGACGGAGCAACGCCGCGUGAGUGAUGAAGGUCUUAGGAUCGUAAAACUCUGUUGUUAGGGAAGAACAAAUUUGUUA